rnacentral:rRNA from 1 species
CGGAGGGAGCUAGCGUUGUUCGGAAUUACUGGGCGUAAAGCGCACGUAGGCGGCUCAGCAAGUCAGGGGUGAAAUCCCGGGGCUCAACCCCGGAACUGCCCUUGAAACUGCUAGGCUAGAAUCCUGGAGAGGCGAGUGGAAUUCCGAGUGUAGAGGUGAAAUUCGUAGAUAUUCGGAAGAACACCAGUGGCGAAGGCGACUCGCUGGGCAGGUAUUGACGCUGAGGUGCGAAAGCGUGGGGGAGCAAACAGGAUU